GUGAAAGAACAAAAGAAGUGAGAAGAAGAACACGCAGGGAAACCAAACGAGAGAGAGAGAGAGACUGCAAAGCUGUGAAAGUAUGUAUUCUAAUAAUUGAACGUAAGAAUGAUUUAUUAAUUUGUAUGCGUGUUAGAUCGCAGAGAGUCUGUGUGUAAGUAUAAAAUAAAACUUCACUAUUGAAUGAGCGAUUAUACACACAUCGUCUCGUCGAGAAAGUUCAAUUAUGCGUAACUCGUUGUAAAGCUUCUAGCUUUUUUGUCCUCCUGUAGCUUUGUCAACGAAGCCCGCGAUCUGUUUCCGAUUCCUUGCUGAACGAUCACACCAUCACUCGUUUGAAGCAAUCGAAGCAUCAUCGAAUGACUGUUUUUUUGGGGUAACUUGAAGUUAAUAAGCGAAAUAAAUGAUCGUCAGAGUGCUGGUUGCUACUUUGAUGGAGCGAAGUGAUGCAUGAGUGAUAGUAAAACUUAACAAGAAAGAGAGGGCGAGAGAAAGUAGUAUGAAAAAAAAGAAUGAAUGCGUAUGAAGACUGUCACGAAUGAUUCUCUGAAGAAAAAAAAAAGAUUCGAAAGAUUCGAAAUACUAGUGAGACCUCUGGUCCGAUCGUGCUGCGCGAGAAUCUAUAUGAUUAGUUGUAGUAUGAUGAUGAUGAUGAUGAUGAUGAUGAUGAUAAUGGUGGUAAUGAUGAUGAUGAUGAUGAUGAUGAAAUGAUGAUGAUGAUGAUGAUAAUAAUGAUGAUGAUGAUGAUGAUGAUGAUGCGUAUGUUACUUUUUCCCCCGUAUGUGAAUGUCUGUUGCUGUUGAUUCAUUAAAAUUAAUAUUUUGCUGGCAUAAGUUAUUGAGUUGUACCGAAGUCCUCGUCCGGCCUGAACGUUCGAGUAAAAAGAAGUGAAAAGAAAAAGAAACUAUACACGAUCCAGUCCCAAAAUAUAUUAAUACAUAUACAAUUAUUCGCAUACAAAUGUAAUCCUGUGCGUGAAAAUAAUUUUAUGCGAUCAUCGUUAAUUCGAAUCUUUCGCGGCUCUCCAACGGAAUAUCGGACGAGAGUCUUUUGCACUGCCAUUAAUAUUGAAACAAUGCUGCAUGCGUCUUGUCCAGGCGUUCAUGUAAUAAGAUCGUUCGUUUCUUCCUUGAUAUUUGAUGGGCUCGAUGAUAUCGAGAACUCGUUUCGCGUGGGUGUUUGUCGAACAGAUUCGUCUUCCUGGCCUCGCAUUAUUGAAGUCGAUGAAAAAGAAAAAAAAAAAAAAUAUAUACAUAUAUAACGAUAGCGAUUGCUCAUUUCUAUUCGCAUUCGUUAUUCCGUAGUAUUGGAAAAUGGAUACACGGUGAUCGCGUAAAUAUCACGAGUAAUUGAAUUUCGAAAGAAAAUGAUUGAUACGAACCCAACGCCCAAAUAUUAUCAGAGUUACUUUCGUAAGCUACUCCAAGAUGAUAAAAUCGAACGAGUUGUACACGAAUAGAUAGAUAAAUUUGUUCGAGAACUUUGGACAUUGGACUGGGAAUAUUUCAAAUGCCUGGUCGCGCAAGGAUUACACAGUUUGAAAUAUGUAUUUCUUUUCUUAUCUACAAUAUUAUAUUUUUCCUCGUUACACGAACAUUUCGAAUCUUGAAAUGAACGAGACGUCACGCGAACAUAGGAAUGUCUCGGGAUCCUUUCACGGCACAGAUAUUUUUCUUAUUUUCUCGAACACUUCCUCGCGAAUUUCCAUAGUUUCGCCUCUGUUUGCGCACGAACGCGAUAUUUAGUAAGAUAUUACGCGAAGAAUUAAACGGACGGUCGGGCGCUCUAAUAAUAUAAUACGAAGUUACGUCACGUGGUCGAAACGUGGCUGUCUAGUGCCAUGCAUUCCAAAUACUUUUGCCAGCGGAAGCACACUGUGACCGUUCUUUCGGAUAUAUUUUAUAGCGAUUUCAUUCUAUCUAACUAACACACAUUUUCCUUGAAUGCCUCGUUUACGCAAAGCUUUACGUACAGACACGAUAGCGAACAGAGAAAGAGAGAGAAAGAGAGAGAAAGAGAGAGAGAGAAAGAGAGAGAGAGAGAGAAUAUUUAUGAUAAUGAUGAGGUUUGAGGGAUGGUGAGAAGAGUUGGCUCGUGAUUCGACGUGAAUCGCGGCGUCACGUUCGGGAAGGGACGAAUCGUCGAUUUGUAAAAAAAAAAAAGAAAUAAAGAAAAAAAAUAAAAGAAGAAACAAAGGAUGGAAAUAAGAAAGAGAAAAGAAAAAAAUAUAAAUUUUGUAUCGUGACGCGGUUGUGAAGAUCGGAGAACCUGUCACUGAAUCCGUUGCCCCUUGCGUUUCGCUGAGAUUUUAGCGCAACUUAAGAGAACGAGAUCACACGCGGACAAAAAAAAAAAAAAAUAAAAAAUAUAAGCAUAUUAUUACGAAUGACAAUGAAGACGAUGACAAACGGCGAUGCGAAACAAGAUGAUUCUCCACGCAGAUAACGCAGAUAAAUUAUUUUUCGAGUGGAUUUCAGCGACGCUUGGCCCAGCGCAGUGUCUCCGUUCUUGAGAAAUAUAUUUCGAACCGCGGUGCCGUUGUACGUACGAGACAAUAUUUUCGAUAAUAUUUUUUAAAUCGAACCGCGAAACACGAAGCCAACCCGUGUAGACCUGUUGUUGUUCCAAAGCAGAGAAAUUGCACGGUGAUGGCAUACGCAUCGAAGAUCGAUCGAUCGUGCGUUAUCUAUAUAGAGCUUCGUGUGUGUACCACGGUUGAUCCGUAUCUUCUCCAUAUUUUUGUUUUUUGCGAUUUUCGACCAAUUGCGUCGGGACAAAGCGUGCCGUUACCGUGCAUACCGUGUGAUUUAAAAAAUAACUAGAGAAUUAAAAGAGAAGCAAACGAAAAAAAAUUAAAUAAAAAAAAUACAAAAAAAGAGGUGAAUAACGAGAGAAAGAGAGAGAGAGAGAGAGAGAAAAAGAGAGGAGAACCGAAAGAAAAGCAAAAAGUGAGCGUGUGAGAUUGACUUUUUUGUGGCGAUAUGUGGAAAAACAGAGAGAGAGAGAGAGAGAGAGAGAGAGAGAGUGCUGUCGAAUGCUGCCGAUCGACGAUCGGACCAAACAUUAUAUAAUUUACGCAUGUGAACAAUUCGAGCGAUAAAUGUGGGUUGAAGCAAAAGCAAGCAAGAAAGCAAGCAAGAAAGAAAGAAAGAAAGAAAGAAAGAAAGAAAGAAAAAACGAAUAAACGAGAACACGAGUUGGAUGAAGUCCUAUUUAGCCUGCCACUUUGUAAUUUGCUCACCCUCUCCAAUUUAUUUCCUAGAGGUUGAUUUUUAGAUCGACCGAACCACUAAUAAAAAAAAGAAAAAAAAGAAAA
rnacentral:lncRNA from 1 species